rnacentral:snoRNA from 1 species
UCUCCUGGGAGGAAGCUCAGCUGGAGUGAUGGAUGGGGUGGAUGGCUGCAGUACAGCAUGAAAGGGGUAUGGGCUGAAUGGAACAGCGGACCUGUGUGUGUGUGUGUGUGUGUGUGUGUGUGUGUGUGUGGUGAAGAUGAGUGUAUGUCUAUACUCAUGUCCCUCCCUGUGCCUAUACCUUGAUUCUACUUGAUCAGGUAGGUCCUGUGUCCUCCACCCCCAGCCCACAGGACCAUCCUAAAAUGAAAAGCCAAAUUUCAGUGACUCCUCUUCUUGUCCUA